GACGAACCGUACAAACGUUAUUCGGAAUUACUGGGCUUAAAGGGCGCGUAGGCGGCCUGCUAAGUCGAACGUGAAAUCCCUGGGCUCAACCCAGGAACUGCGUCCGAUACUGGUUGGCUUGAAUCCGGGAGAGGGAUGUGGAAUUCCAGGUGUAGCGGUGAAAUGCGUAGAUAUCUGGAGGAACACCGGUGGCGAAGGCGGCAUCCUGGACCAACACUGACACUGAGGAGCGAAAGCCAGGGGAGCAAACGGG
rnacentral:rRNA from 1 species